GAGUUUGAUCUUGGCUCAGGAUGAACGCUGGCGGCGUGCUUAACACAUGCAAGUCGAACGAGGAAUUUUAAAUGAGACUUCGGUGGAUUUUAAAAUUCUUAGUGGCGGACGGGUGAGUAACGCGUGGGCAACCUGCCCUGUACAGGGGGGACAACAGCUGGAAACGGCUGCUAAUACCGCAUAAGACCACGGAGCCGCAUGGCUCAGUGGGAAAAACUCCGGUGGUACAGGAUGGGGCCCGCGUUGGAUUAGGUAGUUGGUGAGGUAACGGCCCACCAAGCCGACGAUCCAUAGCCGACCUGAGAGGGUGACCGGCCACGUUGGGACUGAGACACGGCCCAAACUCCUACGGGAGGCAGCAGUGGGGAAUCUUCCGCAAUGGGCGAAAGCCUGACGGAGCAACGCCGCGUGAGUGAAGAAUUAUUUCGGUAUGUAAAGCUCUAUCAGCAGGGAAGAAAAUGACGGUACCUGACUAAGAAGCCCCGGCUAACUACGUGCCAGCAGCCGCAGUAAC
rnacentral:rRNA from 1 species